UCUUCUCCUUCCUAUACUUUUUUCUCCCCUCUUUUGCUUCAAUCCCCCCUUUCUUUCUUUCUUUCUUCCCUCCCUCCCCUUCAAUCUCCAUCUUCCCCUCCCCCUUCCUUUAACCCCUUUGCUCGCGGCUUAAAUGGAAGCACGCUUGCACGUGGCACGAGUCAAACAGAUGCGUUUUACGCGUAAUUUAACCCAAGCCUCGUGAAAACGGUCGACGACGACACACAACCGUGUUUCCACGUCCUUUGUACGCCUUCCGCUGCUCUGGACGUCGACGCGACUUUGACUCCAUGGAGGCGGACACGUAGACAUCCCCUUAUCCCCUUUGCGGCCAACAAAGCCACGAGAUCCAUAGGACUUCGGCCUGGAUAUACACGUAUCUGCGGCUCUGAUGGCUAGAGUCACGCGCCUCGAAUAAAAUACUAUCCCGUCGAGACCGUUACUUCUACCACGUAACAUUUCCAGCUUGUGUGUCCUUCCACCAUGUUUUAUUUAUAAAGACCGAGGAUUUUUCUCGAGGAUCGGGAAGACGCCGAAUGGAAUGAGACUUAAGCUUGAUUUGCUGGGAAUCGAGAUCUGGAAUGGCGGUUUUACGCUCGUGCAACGGCGGAUUUUUCGCCUGGUAAUAAUGGAAGAAACGAGGAGUGUCUCCUAGCUGAAAAUUUAUGGGUUCAAAAUUAUGGGAAAAAUUGAAAAAUUCAUUUUUGGGAUAUUGUUUUGAAUUUACAACAAAUAACGAAUCGAAAAUAAUAAGUCAUGUUCAUGGAAUUGUUUGAUGAUCAGAAUAGACUCAAAGGAAAGAUGGAACGUACAAACAUAAAUUGUCGAAUAAUAGGAGUGAUUGACCGAAGCGGGCUAAUGCUCCUUCCUUGAUUCCAACAAGAUAUCCGGGACAGAUGUUUGCCAUCAAUCAAAGUGUAUGUAACGAUUAAUCCAUCACGUAUAUCAUCGCACUGCGAGAAUUGUCGGGAAGAUUAUAAGAGACUUCUACACGCUUGAGACACAACUGCGAAGAUCAAAUUACCCCAUCUUUCACGUAUAUCUCACGUUGUUUCUUAUAAUGGCGAUGAUAAAAUUGGAAAAUUGAACAAUUUCGAAGAAGCUUUAAAAAGUUAAAAAAGAUUGAAGAAAUUUAUUUUUAUAUCUCUUAAAAAUUUGAUAGAUGAUAUAAAUAUUGAAAGUUGCAUUAAGAAUGCACUAAAAGAGCGAGAUAAAAAUAGUCCAUAGCGUUGCUCAAGUUAUACAGUCUUCAAUAUCUAUAAAAUCUUAGCAAGAGUUAUAGAAAAUCGAAGAGUUACAGCAAUUUUUAGGAACUUUUGACAAAUAAUUGGAAAUAAAUCGGGGCGACGAUAUCUCUGGAGAUAAAAUUUACUGUGGACGAACUAAAGAAGGAAAUAUAAAAGAACGGAAGUUUGAGUCGUGUCGCUUAAUUAAAAAUCAAGAUCGUGUCACGAGUGAAAGGAUAUCCCUUUCGGAAUACUUGGCGCGAGUUGCGAACUUUUUACGGCUCGUGAAAAUGAAACUAAGUUUUAUAUCGAAGUGAAGGCGUGCCUUCGUAAACUUGGUCAACCUUCGCGACAAAAACACUUGAACAUUCGUGGAAAAAGAAAGGAUAAGUAUCAUUAUUUCAUUAAAAUAUCAUUACUCGUUAAAAUUAAUUUCUCAAAACGAUAUUACUUAUAGGAUGAUUUGACGGACAACUAUGCAUUUUAAUACAUUCAAUAUCAUACCAAAAAUCUAACGAAAUCCAAAAUAUGUUACACAAUAUAUGCAACAGCACCAUACAAAAGAAAAUGAAGAAUUCACGUCAACAGAAUAGAAAAUGUUGGUAACAAAAAAUUAAACACGGCCAAAACGUUCAAUCUCUAACAAACAUCAUAUUUGAUACGAUAUAUCAGCUGUUCCAAUAGUCGUACUACGUAUUUCAAGAAGGUUUUCCUUUUUAAAAAAGUAGAGCCACUUGAACCUCCUUUCCGCACAAAGUAACUCGUUUCGAGUUGUUGGCAAAUUGAAAUCGAUCGAUUCCUCCCCCUUUUCUCCCGGUAUUCCUUUUUACACCACACUCUGAUUCAAUUUCGAGAACAGAUGCAAUCGCUUAGAAGAAGGGACGGGACUAGGGGAUGGGGUUGAGAAGCGGAGCAAAAAGUGGAAACUAUUUUUCCGGGUGAACAACGAGCAUGAAGGUUAGACGCUCUCUGGUGUAACCAUUAACGCUCGAUUAGAAACGUAUCUUUCGUAAAAUUAUCCUUUCCGGCCUUGACUUUGGAGUACCGCCUCCGGAUGAGCUCUGUUUGGCUCUGUUGGAUACUUCUUGUCCAUUCUUCUCGCCCAUCCGGAUACUUUUAUUCGUUCAAGGAUGCGUCACAAAUCUUGGAAAAGAAUUGUGAGAAUCUGAUUUUCAUCGUUGGAAAACUAUUGAAAUAGAAAGUUUAAGUGAUAUUUAAAAUUAUCAUUUGAUAAUAUAAAGGAAAAAAGAAAUUUUUCAUGAAAUUCUACGUUAUUUAAGAUUUGGAAUUGAUAAUUAGAAGGUGGAUUUAUGGAUUAGCUUCAAUAAUCUUAAUCUUUAAGCCUAAUGGAUGACUUCAAUCGAAUUGGACGAGUUAGAGGACUAAAUUUCGCUUCUAAAUAAUGUUCACAGAUUGAAUUCUAAAAUGCUUAUAAGAAGAAGAAAUAAUGAAUCAUCGUAGUCGAAAGUGAAAAACCAGAAUAUAAUAUAAAAUAUUUAAAUGAGAUACAUUCAUUUACACUCAAUAUUUACACUCAAAAGUUUUAAUACAGGAUUAUAGUAAUUCAAUUAAUAAAUUGGAAUAAUUAGAUUUACUAUAUUCCAUAUUAUUAUAAUAUUCAUGGCUGAAGAAGAAUCCAUGGAAACAUUAAAACAUGAAGAUCAUCGAUGAAGAAACGAAUGUUUGAAUCUAAUUUCUCAUAAAUUUAUCACAAAAACCUCGUCACAAUUCAAAUCUCCUUUUAAGCUUUUUAAGCAAGAAAAUUAUUCCAAUAAUCGAACGCAUUUUUCCAUCAAAGCAAAGGCCACGUGUCCAUUGACCAAUAUCGAAACCUAUCCCUAAAUUCAACUAGGUUUCCAGGCCGGGCGUAAUUCCGGCCUUCGGUAUAAUGAGAGUGGCCGUAAUUUCGGAGGGUAAGCCGGCUUUCCAUUUGCCAGGAACUCACUCUCUACCCACAAUCUCCUUCGACCAUGGUAUCUCGCUGUCCGUUACGAUUCGAAGAAAGGAACAGUGGAUGGAACCGAACGCGAGUGAUAUCCAGAGACUAUUGAAUGACCUUAAUCCAAUUUCGAUUGGACCUUCAACUAAGGUCCAUAAAAUCGGCUGCUGUCUCACACAAGUGGAUGAAAUUUGAGAUAAUGUGGCUCUGCCUAUGAUAAAACAUGAUGAAACAUAAUUGCAAUUUUAUUCCCUAAUUUUUCUGUUUUCUAGUAAGGUAUCUAGUAUUCAAUAAAAAACAUAUAGAAUUGGGCAUACAAAAAUAUUUUUUAAAACAUAUUUAUUAAAUUAUAAUCAAAUUUAAUAAAAAAAGAUAGAAUAUUAAUAUGCAAAAAUCUAAAAGAAUAUAUAUAUACUAUAUGCGAAAAGGGCAUAAAUCGUAUCCAAAACGAAUUACAGAUUAUAAUAAUUAAAGGAAUGGAUCUUCAUUUCAUUUCUUUCAAUUCAUGAAAAUUUGAAUUCAUAUAAAUAUUCGCAGUCCAGACGCUUCAAUUUAACUAUAAAUAUGUCGCUCACGUUUUCGAAUAUCGUUUUCCAAUUCACCAAGAGCGGACAGUUUCAUGGACAGCUGCCCAGGAUCCCAUCCCUAAAUCUUUAAAAUGGUUUCAGCCACAUCAUCCUCCGCCUUCCUCCUCCAGCAUUACCAUACUGGAACACACGCAAAAAUUCCGACCUCGAGGCAGAAGAAGAACGCGUCAGACGUGAGAAACAUCUCUCGAGGCCCCCUCGGGUGCUGGCACAAGAAGAUAUUAUCGAUAAAAGGAGUCUUUGGUGGCGCGUUUCCAAUGUAAAAGCGGGCCGAAUCCGCUCGUGUUCGCGCAUAUAAACCCCGUGUACGUGUCGUCACAAUAUAUAUGAUGGAUCCAUCGUCUCCUUCGUGUUCCUUUCCUAGGCAACAACCCCCUUAACCUACUUAUCCAACAAGAGUGAGUAUGACUCGAGCCGAUUUCAAAAUUUGGCAAAAUUUCUCUAUAAGCAUGAUUGUAAUUGGUAAUUUAGAUGAUAAUAUAUUGUUAACAAGUAUUUGGAUAGUUUACAAACUUAUUGUUCUUAAAAUCGAUGCAAUUUUAUUUGAAAUAAUUGUAUAAUCAUGAUUAUAUGGGAUUAUUUUAAAGGUUCUUUCAUAUCCGUUAAUUAAAUUUUUUUGAAAAUUACUUUAUAGAAAGUUGAAAAAAUUCAAAGGAGCUCCAGAUAUUAAAAAAAUUUUAUAGAUAACUAAAACUAUGGAUUUAAAAAUUGAAGGCUUCUCUUUACUUAAUUUUAAAAGACUGUUUGCAAUUCUUUAGCAUCUCGUUAAUCCAAUAAAAUAAAAAAUUGGUGUCACUCUGUA